rnacentral:rRNA from 1 species
AGUGGACGCUGGCGGUAGGCCUAACACAUGCAAGUCGAACGGCAGCACAGUAAGAGCUUGCUCUUACGGGUGGCGAGUGGCGGACGGGUGAGGAAUACAUCGGAAUCUACUUUUUCGUGGGGGAUAACGUAGGGAAACUUACGCUAAUACCGCAUACGACCUACGGGUGAAAGCAGGGGAUCUUCGUACCUUGCGCGAUUGAAUGAGCCGAUGUCGGAUUAGCUAGUUGGCGGGGUAAAGGCCCACCAAGGCGACGAUCCGUAGCUGGUCUGAGAGGAUGAUCAGCCACACUGGAACUGAGACACGGUCCAGACUCCUACGGGAGGCAGCAGUGGGGAAUAUUGGACAAUGGGCGCAAGCCUGAUCCAGCCAUACCGCGUGGGUGAAGAAGGCCUUCGGGUUGUAAAGCCCUUUUGUUGGGAAAGAAAAGCAGCAGGUUAAUACCCCGCUGUUCUGACGGUACCCAAAGAAUAAGCACCGGCUAACUUCGU